GACGAACGCUGGCGGCGUGCUUAACACAUGCAAGUCGAACGAGUGGCGAACGGGUGAGUAACACGGGGGUGACCUGCCCUGCAAUUCGGGAUAAGCCUGGGAAACUGGGUCUAAUACCGGCUAGUGUGGGAUGGGCCCGCGGCCUAUCAGCUUGUUGGUGGGGUAAUGGCUACCAAGGCGCGACGGGUAGCCGGCCUGAGAGGGUGGACGGCCACAUUGGGACUGGGACACGGCCCAGACUCCUACGGGAGGCAGCAGUGGGGAAUAUUGCACAAUGGGCGCAAGCCUGAUGCAGCCAUGCCGCGUGUGUGAAGAAGGCCUUCGGGUUGUAAAGCACUUUCAGCGAGGAGGCGUUACUCGCAGAAGAAGCACCGGCUAACUCCGUGCCAGCAGCCGCGGUAAUUC
rnacentral:rRNA from 1 species